ACGUACGUAUAACACUGACAUGCUACAAGUGCCCAGAUUUAUUCGGCGGAAUCGUCGUACAACGCAUUAAUCUCGUAAUCUCCGCUUCCCUCACUUUUCUUCCCAUACCAUACCAUCUACUAUCGUUACGUUAUUCCUUAUUGUUUUCCAUGUACGUACUUUCAAAUUGAAACCACGAUGAGAAAUAACGCCUCAUAUCUAUUCCACUUCAUUUGUAUAACGCUUAUAAAACGUAAACAGCUCGAAUACUUGUACAGUAUUGAAAUAAUUUUUCCAUAUUUGUUUUAAUGUCUCAUUAACGAAUACGCAGAAGGAUCACAGACGACUAGGAAGGAGGGGAAAGGAGAGAACAUCAGCCAGCGUGAAAUUUCGUCCACGUGUAGGUUACUUGUUACACGCUGACGCUUAUCGGAUAUUACAUUUUCGCAUCUGUAAAACAUCGUAUAAAGGCUAUGAGAUAGGUCAGUAGAGCAGUGAUAAGUUGAUUGGAAUUAGAAUGUUCAACUACGUCAUUAUUUACUCGUAAAGAUCUGACGUUGCGUUGGCAAAAAUAGGUGAGAAGGGAGAAAUGAGGGUUAUAUGAAAAACUUGAUCGAUUAUUUUCCAGCCCACACAGGAAUAAGGAUUACGGUUUUGGUCGCAAAAAUUGAAAAAAAAUUACGUAUCGUGUUGAGUUUAAGAGAACGUGGAAUUUUGGAAGCGAAUGAACAUGAAAUCCUCGUUUGAUAACCAUGUUUUCAAGACAAUUUUUCAAGCUGUCAAAUUGAAGACUUUGCAAGAACAGAGAUGCAGAUAUGCAAAAUUCUAAUUUCAAAUUCCAAUUUUCUCGAUAUGAAUUAUAAUUUCUCAUCUGAAAUUAUUAUUUUUCAUCGUGUCAUGAAACGUGGAGAAAAUUAUGUCUGAUUAUAAAUAGGGGAGAAUUUGAAUCUUGAUUUUUCCAUUUUAUAAGGGUUCCCUGAGUGGCUCAAACUUGGAUUUUUUCCAAGGGAGAAAAACUUUAGCGUAGUUCAUAGUUUUAAAAUUUGCAUGCUCAAAAUGGAGAUUUCCUUGUUGAUUUUUCUCAAAAAAAUCGUACCUACUCAUUUU